rnacentral:rRNA from 1 species
UACGUAGGGUGCGAGCGUUGUCCGGAAUUAUUGGGCGUAAAGGGCUCGUAGGCGGUUUGUCGCGUCGGGAGUGAAAGCUCAGGGCUUAACCCUGAGCCUGCUUCCGAUACGGGCAGACUAGAGGUAUGCAGGGGAGAACGGAAUUCCUGGUGUAGCGGUGAAAUGCGCAGAUAUCAGGAGGAACACCGGUGGCGAAGGCGGUUCUCUGGGCAUUACCUGACGCUGAGGAGCGAAAGUGUGGGGAGCGAACAGG